rnacentral:rRNA from 1 species
UCGAGAAUCUUCCGCAAUGGGCGAAAGCCUGACGGAGCGACGCCGCGUGAAGGAUGAAGCGCUUCGGCGCGUAAACUUCUUUUAUGGGGGAGAAAGUCUAUUGAUAGUACCCCACGAAUAAGAGGCUACAAACUCUGUGCCAGCAGUAGCGGUAAUACAGAGGCCUCAAGCGUUAUCCGGAAUUACUGGGCGUAAAGGGUGUGUAGGUGGUCUAGUUAGUCUUCUGUUAAAUUCUUCGGCUUAACCGGGGACCUGCGGAGGAAACGGCUAGACUCGAGGGUGCGAGGGGUGCAUGGAACUCAUGGAGUAGGGGUGAAAUCCGUUGAUAUCAUGAGGAACACCAAAAGCGAAGGCAGUGCACUGGCGCAUUUCUGACACUCAAACACGAAAGCGUGGGUAGCGAAUGGGAUUAGAUACCCGCGUAGUCC